GAUGAACGCUGGCGGCGUGCUUAACACAUGCAAGUCGAACCGAACUACUCCAAUGAGAGUCUUCGGAAAGGAUUUGGUUUAGUUUAGUGGCGGACGGGUGAGUAACGCGUGGGUAACCUGCCCUAUACAGGGGGAUAACAGUUGGAAACGACUGUUAAUACCGCAUAAGCGCACAGGAGCGCAUGCUCCGGUGUGAAAAACUCCGGUGGUAUAGGAUGGACCCGCGUCUGAUUAGCUGGUUGGCGGGGUAACGGCCCACCAAGGCGACGAUCAGUAGCCGGCCUGAGAGGGUGAACGGCCACAUUGGGACUGAGACACGGCCCAAACUCCUACGGGAGGCAGCAGUGGGGAAUAUUGCACAAUGGGGGAAACCCUGAUGCAGCGACGCCGCGUGAGCGAAGAAGUAUCUCGGUAUGUAAAGCUCUAUCAGCAGGGAAGAAAAUGACGGUACCUGACUAAGAAGCCCCGGCUAACUACGUG
rnacentral:rRNA from 1 species